AAAAUCCAUAGAUAACAAUUCAAAUCUUAAUAUUCAAUAGCGAUUUUGAAUGAUAGUCUUGGCGUACAUUACUAUUGAGUGAGAUUCAUUUUAGAUUUCUUUAUUAUGUACACUCUCCCGGUUUUUUAUUUUUUGCUUAGCUGAAAAAUGUGGUUUUUUCGAUCACGCGACGUGUCACAAUAACAUUAUAAUAACAAUAUGUCUGUGGGAAAAAAUACUUACUCAAACUCCCCGUACACGUCGUCGAAUCGUAAUCUUUUCCGCGGUCCGCGAUAAAAUAUAAUCACCCUAUAUAUAAUUUUAUACGACGCAUGUUCUCGGCUGUCUAUAUAAAAUAAAGGGAGGGUACGCCACUGGCGCGAAAAUGUAUAUACAUAUAAUACCAAGGUCGGAAAUUUGCACGGUCAUCUUUAUGCGCCGUAACAACAAAACGCGAACGUCUUUUUAUUUUUCUUU